rnacentral:SRP_RNA from 1 species
UCUCGGGGAGCAGUGGCACAUGCUUGUAGUCCCAGCUACUCAGGAGGAUGAGGUGGGAGGACUGCUUGAGCCCAGGAGUUACGGGCUGUAGCGUGCUAUGCCGAUAGGGUGUCCGCACUAAGUUCGGCAUCAAUAUGGUGACCUCCCAGAAGCGGGGCCCACCAGGUUGCCUAAGGAGGGGUAAACCGGCCCAGAUCAGAAACAGAGCAGGUCAAAACUCCCGUGCUGAUCAGUAGUGGGAUCGCACCUGUACAUCGCCACUGCACUCCAGCCUGGGCAACACAGCGAGACACUGUCUCU